UAGUGGCGAACGGGUGAGUAACACGUGGGCAAUCUGCCCUUCACUCUGGGACAAGCCCUGGAAACGGGGUCUAAUACCGGAUAACACCGGCCUCUGCAUGGGGGCUGGUUAAAAGCUCCGGCGGUGAAGGAUGAGCCCGCGGCCUAUCAGCUUGUUGGUGAGGUAACGGCUCACCAAGGCGACGACGGGUAGCCGGCCUGAGAGGGCGACCGGCCACACUGGGACUGAGACACGGCCCAGACUCCUACGGGAGGCAGCAGUGGGGAAUAUUGCACAAUGGGCGAAAGCCUGAUGCAGCGACGCCGCGUGAGGGAUGACGGCCUUCGGGUUGUAAACCUCUUUCAGCAGGGAAGAAGCGAAAGUGACGGUACCUGCAGAAGAAGCGCCGGCUAACUACGUGCCAGCAGCCGCGGUAAUACGUAGGGCGCAAGCGUUGUCCGGAAUUAUUGGGCGUAAAGAGCUCGUAGGCGGCUUGUCACGUCGGGUGUGAAAGCCCGGGGCUUAACCCCGGGUCUGCAUCCGAUACGGGCAGGCUAGAGUGUGGUAGGGGAGAUCGGAAUUCCU
rnacentral:rRNA from 1 species